AGACCCGAAACCCGGUGAUCUAGCCAUGGGCAGGUUGAAGGUUGGGUAACACUAACUGGAGGACCGAACCGACUAAUGUUGAAAAAUUAGCGGAUGACCUGUGGCUGGGGGUGAAAGGCCAAUCAAACCGGGAGAUAGCUGGUUCUCCCCGAAAGCUAUUUAGGUAGCGCCUCGUGAAUUCAUCUCCGGGGGUAGAGCACUGUUUCGGCUAGGGGGCCAUCCCGGCUUACCAACCCGAUGCAAACUGCGAAUACCGGAGAAUGUUAUCACGGGAGACACACGGCGGGUGCUAACGUCCGUCGUGAAGAGGGAAACAACCCAGACCGCCAGCUAAGGUCCCAAAGUCAUGGUUAAGUGGGAAACGAUGUGGGAAGGCCCAGACAGCCAGGAUGUUGGCUUAGAAGCAGCCAUCAUUUAAAGAAAGCGUAAUAGCUCACUGGUCGAGUCGGCCUGCGCGGAAGAUGUAACGGGGCUAAACCAUGCACCGAAGCUGCGGCAGCGACACUGUGUGUUGUUGGGUAGGGGAGCGUUCUGUAAGCCUGUGAAGGUGGCCUGUGAGGGUUGCUGGAGGUAUCAGA
rnacentral:rRNA from 1 species